AAACCAGGCAAAACCCCAGCAUGGAGACCUGGAAGUGGACACAAGUCCCACUCCCUAAGCAAGGAGCAUUGCAAUUGACAGUUUCUGGCAAAGGGGAACUCUGUUUUCUCCAACUGAGUGUUGCUGGAUAGGCAACCACACUCCAGGGCAGGCGCCAUGCCCAGAAGAAAAAAGCAUGGAGCUGGGUAGGUAAGGAGAAUCUGAAGACAGUUUGGAGAAAGGAAAAAUAUCAAAAUAAUUUUUUAAAUGUUAAAAUGCAGUACUUUGGUACAGGCUCGGCGAGAUGGAGACGAUGAGAGACGCAGCGUGAGAAGCCAGAGCAGCUCCAAACCUCAUUGAGACCGGCCGCCAAAGCCCUCCACACCCACUGUAUAUUUUUGGCUAUUUCAGCCCUGAUGAAUUCAGAGUUUUUGUUGUUGUUUUGGUUUGGUUUGGUUUUUUUGUGAUCCCUGCUCUUCAGGUGAGCUCCCCCCUCCAUACAGUGGGACUCUGUAUAGCAUACAGGCUGAAGAUGAACUGCCAGAUGCGUUCGGCUCAUGAAUAAGUUUAUUAAUAUGCCCCUACCGCCCGAGCCCCGCCAAGCUGUCGGGGAUAAAAUAACUCCACCCAGGAGCUGCCUUUGAACCCACAUACAUUUACAGACAGUCAUCAAGUCGAGCCUACCUGAAAAGGGCCGACCGGAGGACGCCAAGGAGUACCUAGGUUUCAUCCUCAGUGGACUCCAUGAGGAGAUGCUGAGCCCGACUAAACUCCUCUCACCCACGCAUGAGUAGCACUCUGUUUCCAAUUGGCCUGGGAGCCACUUGAUAGAGGAGCUGGAAGACACCAGUGUGGUCAGUGAGGACGAUUGCAAGCAAGUGGGUCCCAAGAACAAGAUGUCUGUCGCCUGACAGGCGGCGGAUUUCGUCCAGACACACCUAUCACUGGCAUUUUCAGUGUACACCCAGCAGAGUUCCAAGGAGUCCGCCACUCUGUAGUCAUUUUUCUCGCUGCAGUUGGAUAUCCUAUCUGACAAGAUAUGCACAGUUCAGGAUGGGUUGGAAGGUUUAGUGGCAAGAGAGUCUAUCCAAGGUUACACCACCAAAACCGAGCAGGAGAUUAAAGUCAGCCGCAGAGUGAUUCUAGAGAAGCUUCCCCCAGUCCUCCCUCGUGCUCCACCUAAAGUGCUUCGUCGGUGAGAACACAGGCAGAUGCCAGAAGCUGGUCAGGAACGUUGACGACACUGUGGACUUGGAGAUCAGCAGAGAACGGCUUUCUCCAGGCUUCAAAAAUAAACAUUUUAAAUGCCACAGAACGUAGAGGCUGUUCACAGUGGUUUCAUGGUGCCAGCGCUACAAUCGGCCACUACAUUACGGACAUCUUCCAGAUUGGGCUUAAUGGCUGGCUGUGAAUUGAUGACCAAACGGUCAAGGUUAUUAAUCAGUACCAGUUGGUGAAGUAGACUGCUGACUUCUGGCUUGCACAGCCUACCUCCUGCAUUACCGCCAUGUGGACCUGCUGUAACCGUGCCCGUGUGUCUGUGUGUGCCUGCUUCCUACAACUGCCAACUCACUCACUACCCACCUCUCUAGUGGCUCUGUAGAGAGACUCUCCCUCUGCGCCAAUGGGCUUGGGAGAUUCCUGGGGGUCUGCGCAGCGCAACUCAGUGAGCUGCCACUUCUGAAGAACUGCUGGUUCCUGGGCGGAGGCGGCGGUUUACACUGUGUCCCAGGCUAGUCGCAUAGUAGAAUAAGUCCCGCACCAACAGCUCUUGCAAAUUUGUGAAAAUGAAUUUUAUCUUUCCUUUAGAAAAUAUUUUUUAAAUUCAUCACACUUUCCUCCUUUACCCUUCAGUUUUUGAUAAAUGACAAAAAUGAGCCAGUUAUCAGAUGAGGUAGUUCUUACUUCAAAAAGAAAUAAAUACAAGAAAUAUAUUGCAGGUUCCUAACAGGAAAUGCAUUUUAACGAUUGUGAGAGGGAAACCCGCUGACGUAGACACCGCGGGUCAGACUCAGGCUACAGAAGUGGGUAAUUGUAACUUCGUUACCAUGAAAAGAUUUCAAAUCUCAUUCAUGCUGUGUACACAUGAACAGUGGGCAAAAUGAUGGACUGACACUUCCCAGUGUCUGCUGUGUAAUCUCCUGCCACGCCUCUCUGAUGCCCUGUCCCUCAGGUACACAGAAUAGGAUUCCUAGGAGUAUAAAGUUGUCACUCUUCAAUAAAGGUCACAAAGUUGGUUU
rnacentral:lncRNA from 1 species